rnacentral:rRNA from 1 species
UCAAAAACAUCUCUCCUAGAGGUAAAAAGUGGGAAUUAGGAGUAGGCCCUGCCCGGUGUAUCAUUUUGAUUAACGGCGGCGUUAAGUCUUAAAGUAGCGUGAUAAUUUGUCCCUUAAUUAGGGUCUGGUAUGAAAGGGUUGACGAGGGGUUGCUGUCUCAGGGUAAAGAGCAUAAAUUUUCUUUUUAGUGAAAAGCCUGAGAUAUUGUUAAAAGACGAGAAGACCCCGUCGAGCUUGAUUGUAUUUUUUAAAUACUUAUAUUUUAAAAAAGAAAGUUUUAUUGGGGCAAUGUAGGAGAAAAUAAACCUCCAGUAUAUUAGACAAGGAUCCCCAUAUUGGGAAAAAGGAAAAAGUUACCGCGGGGGUAACAGCGCAAGAUGACCUAAGAGUUCAUAUCGAAGGUUAGAUUUGCGACCUCGAUGUUGGAUUAGAGAAACUCCCUGGAGCAGAAACUAGGGCAGGUGGGACUGUUCGUCCUUUAAAUCUUUACAUGAUCUGAGUUCA